rnacentral:rRNA from 1 species
CUUGGAGAGUUUGAUCCUGGCUCAGAACGAACGCUGGCGGCAGGCUUAACACAUGCAAGUCGAGCGCCCCGCAAGGGGAGCGGCAGACGGGUGAGUAACGCGUGGGAACGUACCAUUUGCUACGGAAUAACUCAGGGAAACUUGUGCUAAUACCGUAUGUGCCCUUCGGGGGAAAGAUUUAUCGGCAAAUGAUCGGCCCGCGUUGGAUUAGCUAGUUGGUGGGGUAAAGGCUCACCAAGGCGACGAUCCAUAGCUGGUCUGAGAGGAUGAUCAGCCACACUGGGACUGAGACACGGCCCAGACUCCUACGGGAGGCAGCAGUGGGGAAUAUUGGACAAUGGGCGCAAGCCUGAUCCAGCCAUGCCGCGUGAGUGAUGAAGGCCCUAGGGUUGUAAAGCUCUUUCACCGRKAAGAUAAKACGGUAACCGGAGAAGAAGCCGGCUAYUU